rnacentral:rRNA from 1 species
GACGAACGCUGGCGGCGUGCCUAAUACAUGCAAGUUGAGCGCUGAAGGUUGGUACUUGUACCAACUGGAUGAGCAGCGAACGGGUGAGUAACGCGUGGGGAAUCUGCCUUUGAGCGGGGGACAACAUUUGGAAACGAAUGCUAAUACCGCAUAAAAACUUUAAACACAAGUUUUAAGUUUGAAAGAUGCAAUUGCAUCACUCAAAGAUGAUCCCGCGUUGUAUUAGCUAGUUGGUGAGGUAAAGGCUCACCAAGGCGAUGAUACAUAGCCGACCUGAGAGGGGGAUGGGCCAAAUUGGGACUGAGAAAGGGCCCAAACUCCUAAGGGGGGCAGAAGAAGGGAAACUUGGGAAAGGGGAGAAAGUUGGAACGAGAAACGCGGCGGGAGGGAAGAAGGUUUUCGGAUGGAAAAACUUGGUUGGUAGGGAAGAAAGUUGGGGGGGGGGAAAAGCCCACAAAGUGACGGUAACCACCAAAAAAGGAACGGCUAACUACGU